ensembl:lncRNA UCA1 urothelial cancer associated 1
GCUGACUCUCUUUUCAGACUCAGCCCACUUGCACCCAAGUGAAUUAACAGCCUUGUUGCUCACACAAAGCCUGUUUAGGUGGUCUUCUAUACGGACAUGCUUGACACUUGGUGCCAAAAUCUGGGCCAGGGGGACUCCUUCGUGAGACCGGCCCCCUGUCCUGGCCCUCAUUCCGUGAAGAGAUCCACCUGCGACCUCGGGUCCUCAGACCAGCCCAAGGAACAUCUCACCAAUUUCAAAUCGGAUCUCCUCGGCUUAGUGGCUGAAGACUGAUGCUGCCCGAUCGCCUCAGAAGCCCCUUGGACCAUCACAGAUGCCGAGCUUCGGGUAACUCUUACGGUGGAGGCCUCAAUGGACCAGACCCUACCCGGUCAUUUAUAGCACACCAACUGCCGUCCAUCUGCAGGACCCUCUCCAUUGGGUUCACCAUUCCAGAAUAAAGCCAUGCCCAUCAGACAGCCAGCUUGAUCUCUCCUCUUCCUCCUGGAAGCCACAAGAUUAGGCCGAGAGCCGAUCAGACAAACAACCUACAACCCUUAAGCUCCUGGCAGCGCCCAGCCAAGGCCAUGCUUCCUUGCAACACUCCUUCCAAAUGGCCAUCCCAGCAUGCUUCCAAGCAGGCUUCAUCCGUUCCUCUGGACCCUCAUCUCUUAAGACCUGCCGCCUAUAAAAAGGAUUAUAUCUUGAGACCCUAUCCUCUAAAAUUUUUUCCACACCCAAAACAAAAAAUCUCUGGGUCAAAAGUCUAAAACGCUUAGGCUGGCAACCAUCAGAUCCUUGCCCAUGGUGUCCUCAAGCCUACUCUCAUGAAAUGGACAACAGUACACGCAUAUGGGGCCAGUUCCACAUAUUUGGCAACCAGACCAGCAUCCAGGACAACACAAAGAUCUGCAAUCAGAACUAUUGAACUUCUCCAUUCAGACCGCCACUCACACCUAUGGGAAAAGGGUAAUGUAUCAUCGGCUUAGCAACAGGGAAUACUAUUCGUAUGAUGGAAAAUGGGGACAAAAGGCUUUGGUACAUAAAACAUUAUUCCUUCCUUGGCCUAAAAACUCAUCGCCACCUACAUUAAAGCUAAUAUGCC